AAUUGUUGCAGUUAAAAAGCUCGUAGUUGGAUUUCGGAAGGUCUUUAGUGGUCCGCCCCUUCGGGGAGCGGGUCACUGGCCUCCUAUGUUCCUAACGGUCCUCAUCCGCGAGGGUGGGGAAUCAACCGCUAGGAUCGUUUACUUUGAGGAAAUUAGAGUGUUCAAAGCAGGCGUAACUCGCCUCCGAAUACGUUAGCAUGGGAUAAUGGAAUACGACUUCGGUCUUGUUUCGUUGGUUUCGCUUGGCUGAAGUAAUGAUUGAUAGGGACAGUUGGGGGCAUUAGUAUUUAGUUGUCAGAGGUGAAAUUCUAGGAUUUACUAAAGACUGACCAAUGCGAAAGCAUUUGCCAAGGAUGUUUUCAUUAAUCAAGAACGAAAGUAGGGGGAUCGAAGACGAUCAGAUACCGUCGUAGUCUCUACCGUAAACUAUGCCGACCAGGGAUCCGGAGAGUUUGCAUGGAUGACUCCCCGGGCACCUUGUGAGAAAUCAUAAGUGUUUGGGUUUUGGGGGGAGUAUGGUCGCAAGGCUGAAACUUAAAGGAAUUGACGGAAGGGCACCACCAGGAGGGAAUU
rnacentral:rRNA from 1 species